ACCGCGGUGGCCGAGCGGUUAGAGCGUUCGCCUCGCAAGCGGAAGGCCCGGGGGUUCGAAUCCCGGCCGCGACA